UACGAAGGGGGCUAGCGUUGUUCGGAAUUACUGGGCGUAAAGCGCGCGUAGGCGGAUCGCUAAGUCAGGGGUGAAAUCCCAGGGCUCAACCCUGGAACUGCCUCUGAUACUGGCAAGCUGGAGAUCGGGAGAGGUUGGUGGAAUUCCGAGUGUAGAGGUGAAAUUCGUAGAUAUUCGGAGGGACACCAGAAGCGAAGGCGGCCAACUGGCCCGAUACUGACGCUGAGGCGCGAAAGCGUGGGGAGCAAACAGG
rnacentral:rRNA from 1 species